rnacentral:sRNA from 2 species
CAAUGAGUUUUCUAGGGUUCCGCAGUUCGCUGGUCUGGUCCGAGAGAAAACGGCAGUCUACGAGUGACUGUUCACGGAGGGAUAAAAACCCGGGAGAA